ensembl:lncRNA
CACAGAGCAGCACAGAAAGGCCGAGUGACCUGCCCACAUUUCACACCCAGGGAUGAAGCCUGGGAUUGGUCCCCCCAUUCCUGCUGCUUCCAGAGCUGUGCUGUGAAGCCCAUCAGGUCCCUGGUCAUCCCCACGUUCACAUCUAGGUGUCCUUCCUCGGCCAGCUGCCUCCCUCCUACCCACCAAGAUGGGAAUGGGCGGGCCGGGAGGAGGCUGAGGCCGGGGCCCAAGCCCCCUGGAGAGGCACUCCUAGGAUGCUCAUCACAAGUGUGGCCCAGGUGAUGCUUCCUACAGCCCCCCAGACCACCUCUAGGCCUGGCAAAGAUACCACCGUCCUGAUAGAUCUGGCUUGGCACUGCACCUAACUGAUCAGAGGCAGCAGGAAGAAUUCCCCUUCAUCUCCACUGGAGGGCCUUCCGUGUUCUCAGGACAAACCAUCCCCAUCAAGCUGUGAUCUCACCUCAUUAGUGGGACCUGAUGGACUCCAGCCCCGCUGACUCAGAGCCCUCCUAGCAGACAGGUGGGAGAGGCUGUGAUUCAGCCUGGGGUUCAUCGCCCUCAUUUUUCUGUCACAGUCCAGCAGGGUCUGCCUUGAUCAUCGAGAUACCUCGGAAACAUGUUACAGCCCCUGCAAGAAUGUUGGUCAGGGCCUACCAUCUUCCCUGUUAUCCACCUUGUCUAACCUAAGUUUCUCUCAUUGUACAAGAGCAGAAAUACAAUUUAAGGACUCCAGUGUUUCACGACAAUGAACCACUGUUCUGCCUUUGACUGUCAAUUAAGCUCUUUAUUGGAAAGAUGGGGAAAGGGAGGCCCAGAGAGGCAGUGACUUGUCCAAAAUCUGAGCCAGACAGUUAAUGAGAAACUGGAGUAUGGACCAUCCACACUAGGAAAAUAGUGCUUCCCUAAUAAAUGAAUGGAUAUUCCCUCCAGGCCUACCUCUGCUCUAGGUUUCAGGAAAAUACCGGUGAGGUACUUGUCUCAAGGGUGAUGGGUGACCUUCUAG